rnacentral:rRNA from 1 species
UACGGAGGGUGCAAGCGCUAUCCGGAUUCACUGGGUUUAAAGGGUGCGUAGGUGGGUUGGUAAGUCAGUGGUGAAAUCUCCAGGCUUAACUUGGAAACUGCCAUUGAUACUAUCAAUCUUGAAUACCGUGGAGGUCAGCGGAAUAUGUCAUGUAGCGGUGAAAUGCUUAGAUAUGACAUAGAACACCAAUUGCGAAGGCAGCUGGCUACACGAAUAUUGACACUGAUGCACGAAAGCGUGGGGAUCAAACAGG